CCAAUAGCGUAUAUUAAGGUUGCUGCGGUUAAAAAGCUCGUAGUUGAAUUUCGGGAUUGAUACAUUGGUCGUGCCUUAAGGGGUAUGAGCUGGUGUGGUCAAUUUCUUACCUUCUGGUGAAUUGUGAUGUCCUCCUUAAUUGGGUGUUUCAAUGAACUAGGACUUUUUACUUUGAAAAAAUUAGAGUGUUUAAAGCAGGCAUUAUUUGCUUGAAUACAUUAGCAUGGAAUAAUAAAAUAGGACAAUGAUUCUAUUUUGUUGGUUUCUAGGAUCACUGUAAUGAUUAAUAGGGAUAGUUGGGGGCAUUAGUAUUCAAUUGUCAGAGGUGAAAUUCUUGGAUCAAUUGAAGACUAACUACUGCGAAAGCAUUUGCCAAGGAUGUUUUCAUUAAUCAGGAACGAAAGUUAGGGGAUCGAAGACGAUUAGGUACGUCGUAGUCUUAACCAUAAACUAUGCCGACUAGGAAUCAGACAACGUUAAAUUUUUAAUGACUUGUUUGGCACCUUACG
rnacentral:rRNA from 1 species